CUGGGGAGACACGGCUCUCCGGGUGCGUUUCACUGCUUUUCUCCUAUCCACGGUUCGAUGUGUAGACCUGCGCAGGAAGAACGCCAGCGCGUAGAACGGCCAAUCUAUCGGACCUGAUACACGACCUCUUCGUGAAUCACACGUAGCCGACUACACGACCCGACUAACACAAGGAAUGACAGCGCGCGUCAACGGUGAUGCUUACGGCGACAGCGACGAAACGCGCGGUUGACUCGCGAGUAGAAAGUACUGUUCUCCCCUUCCUCGGAUAGUAAAUAUGCACUUGGGCAGAUACUCGGGCCCAUUCUACUUCACGGCUGAAUCGACUACCUGUGACCAGUCUGCCGAUUAUUAGUCGCUCGUACAACGAUCGAACAUCGCUACACCUUUGUGUUUAUGCACCGGCCACACAGUGACUCUCAGCACUCGCCAGUGGUUCUUACCUAAAGCUCGAAGGUUUAGCAAUUCCGCUAAUGGCUAGGUUCUAGUCUCUGGUCGGCAGAUCGAUGGUCGAAGGGAAAAGAAGCUUACGGAACAGGGUACGUAAUAGCGUUUAUGCCGCAGGAUUAAUUUUAAUCGAGUUUCAGUUGCGACGAGGGACAGAAUCAAUCAAUGUCGCGACGAUCAGCGAUGUUCGUUAUUUUGCAAUUCGACGAUAAGAACGUGCAACCGUCUUGUAUACGUAUGAAAGGAAGUUGGCGUUUUUGCACGGGUUUGUCCCUCGCGAUGAUGAUAGAGCAGGAUCGUUUAGCAAACGGCCGAUGAAAGGUGGUUGAAAGGCACGUGCAAUUUAAACGGGCUGCCGCCUGUGUAUACUUACACCGACGUGUAUUUGAUUAAUCGAUGCGCUGCUUUCUACCGGCCAACUAUUUCGCUGCUGACGUUAGUCGGUUGACGAAGGUUGCAGAGAAAGAGGAUGUCAAAGGCGACAUGGGUCUUGCCCAUAAUCUUAGUUUACCUUUCUUAGGCCUUGGCAAGAGCCGUAAGCAACAGUAUAGCCAGCCGUGUUCCCGUUUCGAAGAUAAUUUUCACGAAGCCGUUUCUAAAUGCACAACGGUCCACUCGCCUUUUACUUUUCGGCAAGCAGACUGCCCUUGAAACGCUGCCCGUCACGCUUUGGUAAUUCUCGUUGAAGGAUCGACGAGUCCUAGCUACAAUGGAAAUAUACGCAGGCUUUGGGGCCACUGUAAACGUCAAUAAACACGAGUCCACUAAAUCUUGGCGAUCCGGACUUUUAACAACCUGGCGUAUUAAACGAGUUGCCUCGGCGGUGAUUUACUACGCGAUUUCCUAUUUAACAUUAGAACUACCGAUAGUUAACACGAAGCUAUUUCUGAUCAAAUACCAGUCAAAAUGACUGGUCUUUAAAAAAUACGUAAAAUAGAAUAUUUUUAUAUUUAUCGAUUUAUCACUUUCUUACAGAAGGAAUUCCAUGUUACGUAGUACAUUUUAAUAUUAAUCCAUCUGGAACUAUGAUCCCUAAAGGAGGGUUGACAUAUUUGUAAAAUUGUAAAGCCAGUCAUUUUGACUGGUGUGGUAUUUCCAGUGUUGCGAUUUAGCGAUCGAUUCGGAAUCUUUCUGACGACUGAUACGCAGUAAAAUCGUAAAAACGUGUGGGAAGUUGUACGAAACGAGGAAACUGGAUAAUUGGAGUUCGAUAAACAGAUUGCAGAAUCUUUUUACACUACGGCAAGUAUCAGUCAUUUUGACUGGUAUUGGUAUAAAUAACUUUGAUGUAAAAUUAUUUGAAAUUUGAAUACAUAAAAAAACAAAAUAAAAUUCAUUACAUCAUUGGAGAAAAAAAUAUAACAAAGUAGGAAUUUUAAAAUAACAUUGUCGAACCAGUCAAUUUGGCGUGGUAUUUCUAGUGUUGCGAUCUAGUGAUAUAACGAGCGAUCAGGAAUCUUCCUGACGACUGAUAUCAGUAUAUUAAAUGAUACGCAGUAAAAAUGUUAAAAACGUGUGGGAAAUUGUACAAAACGAGGAAACUGGUUAAUUGGGGUUCGAUAAACAGAUUGCAGGACCCUUUUACAUUUUGACAAGUACCAGUCAUUUCGACUGGUAUUGGUAUAAGUAGUCUUGAUAUAAAAUUAUUUUAAAUUUGAAUGCAUAAAGAACUAAAUAAAAUUCAUUAUAUUAUUCUUUUAGUUAUCGUUGCAAUUACAACAUUGGGGGAAAAAUAUGUCGGAGAUGGAAGGAAAACCGGAGCCUUCCCUUUGCAAUUUUGAGGAAGCCUUCUAAUGCUUUAGCCUAGAUUUUAUCAUAACUGUAAUUAAGCAAUUGUCAUUUGUAAUUUUUUGAUAUUUGUGAAAGCGAAAGUGGGUUCGAGGUGACAACUGGUCGCCGAACGUAGCCACGGUCACGGGAUAAACGUUUUGCCUGACGAAGGUGUGGAUCGGUUGUAUUGUUCUCCCUAGAAA